AUUGAACGCUGGCGGCAGGCCUAACACAUGCAAGUCGAACGAGUGGCGGACGGGUGAGUAAUGUCUGGGAAUCUGCCUGAUGGAGGGGGAUAACUACUGGAAACGGUAGCUAAUACCGCAUACCAUCGGAUGUGCCCAGAUGGGAUUAGCUAGUAGGUGGGGUAACGGCUCACCUAGGCGACGAUCCCUAGCUGGUCUGAGAGGAUGACCAGCCAAACGGGGACUGAGACACGGCCCAGACUCCUACGGGAGGCAGCAGUGGGGAAUAUUGCACAAUGGGCGCAAGCCUGAUGCAGCCACGCCGCGUGAAUGAAGAAGGCCUUCGGGUUGUAAAGUACUUUCAGCGGGGAGGCGUUACUCACAGAGGAAGCACCGGCUAACUCCGUGCCAGCAGCCGCGGUAAUUC
rnacentral:rRNA from 1 species